GACGUAGGUGGCGAACGUUAUCCGGAAUUAUUGGGCGUAAAGGGUGCGUAGACGGCAUGAUAAGUUAUUGGCGGGAAAUCGAGGCUCAACCUCGUGGAAACUGAUAAUACUGUUUUGCUCGAGUACAGGAGAGGUUAACGGAACUCCAUGUGGAGCGGUAAAAUGGGUAGAUAUAUGGAAGAACAUCAAUAACGGCGAAGGCAGUUAACUAUUCUGUUACUGACGUUGAGGCACGAAAGCGUGGGGAGCAAAACGG
rnacentral:rRNA from 1 species